rnacentral:tRNA from 3 species
GGGCAAUUAGCUCAGCUGGUGAGAGCAUCCGCCUUACACGCGGAAGGCCGCAGGUUCGAAUCCUGCAUUGCCCA